UACGUAGGUGGCAAGCGUUAUCCGGAAUUAUUGGGCGUAAAGCGCGCGUAGGCGGUCUUUUAAGUCUGAUGUGAAAGCCCACGGCUCAACCGUGGAAGGUCAUUGGAAACUGGUCGACUUGAGUGCAGAAGAGGGAAGUGGAAUUCCAUGUGUAGCGGUGAAAUGCGUAGAGAUAUGGAGGAACACCAGUGGCGAAGGCGGCUUCCUGGUCUGUAACUGACACUGAGGCGCGAAAGCGUGGGGAGCAAACAGGAUUAGAUACCCGCGUA
rnacentral:rRNA from 1 species